rnacentral:rRNA from 1 species
UGCGAAUGGCUCAUUAUAUAAGUUAUCGUUUAUUUGAUAGUAUCUUGCUACUUGGAUAACCGUGGUAAUUCUAGAGCUAAUACAUGCUAAAAAUCCCGACUUCGGAAGGGAUGUAUUUAUUAGAUUAAAAACCAAUGCCCUCUGGGCUCUCUUGGUGAAUCAUGAUAACUUCUCGAAUCGCAGGGCCUUGCGCCGGCGAUGGUUCAUUCAAAUUUCUUCCCUAUCAACUUUCGAUGUUUGGGUAGUGGCCAAACAUGGUUGCAACGGGUAACGGAGGGUUAGGGCUCGACCCCGGAGAAGGAGCCUGAGAAACGGCUACUACAUCCAAGGAAGGCAGCAGGCGCGCAAAUUACCCAAUCCCGAUCCGGGGAGGUAGUGACAAUAAAUACUGAUACAGGGCUCUUUUGGGUCUUGUAAUUGGAAUGAGUACAAUUUAAAUCCCUUAACGAGGAACAAUUGGAGGGCAAGUCUGGUGCCAGCAGCCGCGGUAAUUCCAGCUCCAAUAGCGUAUAUUAAAGUUGUUGUGGUUAAAAAGCUCGUAGUUGAACCUUGGGCCUGGCUGGCCGGUCCGCCUCACCGCGUGCACUGGUCCGGCCGGGCCUUUCCCUCUGUGGAACCCCAUGCCCUUCACUGGGUGUGGCGGGGAAACAGGACUUUUACUUUGAAAAAAUUAGAGUGCUCCAGGCAGGCCUAUGCUCGAAUACAUUAGCAUGGAAUAAUGAAAUAGGACGUGCGGUUCUAUUUUGUUGGUUUCUAGGACCGCCGUAAUGAUUAAUAGGGACAGUCGGGGGCAUCAGUAUUCAAUUGUCAGAGGUGAAAUUCUUGGAUUUAUUGAAGACUAACUACUGCGAAAGCAUUUGCCAAGGAUGUUUUCAUUAAUCAGGAACGAAAGUUAGGGGAUCGAAGACGAUCAGAUACCGUCGUAGUCUUAACCAUAAACUAUGCCGACUAGGGAUCGGACGAUGUUAUUUUUUGACUCGUUCGGCACCUUACGAGAAAUCAAAGUGCUUGGGCUCCAGGGGGAGUAUGGUCGCAAGGCUGAAACUUAAAGAAAUUGACGGAAGGGCACCACCAGGGGUAAACCUGACCUGUGAAGCCGCAGUCAACUCUGCUCCAGAAAGCCGCCCGAAAGGGUCGGUGGUGUUCCUAGGGGAGAGCUCUCCCCUAAACUAAUGGCUAGUCCUGCCGCCCGCGGCAGGGCGACACCCUCAAACUGACGGGGAACUCCUAAAGCCCUCGCUCCGGACAGGCGUCGGGAAACCGACGGCCUGCUCACCAGGCUAACGACCUCGGGUAUCGGAAGCAACGCGAGAGGAUGCUACAAUGGACAAUCCGCAGCCAAGCCCCUACGGUGCGGCCUCUACGGGGGUCGCAUACGGGGAAGGUUCAGAGACUUGACGGGGGUGGGUGGCGCGGGCUCUUGGGGUGCAAGCCGCGUGCUUGCUUGCAGGCCCAGGCGCCCGCCGCUGCCUAAGAUAAAGUCCGGGCGUGCGCGAAAGCGUGCGCGGCAACCACGCAACCCGCCGUUUCCAGCGGGUGCGAGGCCCCAGAAGUAAAAACAACCGGGAGCCUGCGGCUUAAUUUGACUCAACACGGGGAAACUCACCAGGUCCAGACACAAUGAGGAUUGACAGAUUGAGAGCUCUUUCUUGAUUUUGUGGGUGGUGGUGCAUGGCCGUUCUUAGUUGGUGGAGUGAUUUGUCUGCUUAAUUGCGAUAACGAACGAGACCUUAACCUGCUAAAUAGCCCGUAUUGCUUUGGCAGUACGCCGGCUCUUAGA